GAUGAACGCUGGCGGCGUGCCUAAUACAUGCAAGUCGAGCGAACAGACGAGGAGCUUGCUCCUUUGACGUUAGCGGCGGACGGGUGAGUAACACGUAGGUAACCUACCUAUAAGACUGGGAUAACUUCGGGAAACCGGAGCUAAUACCGGAUAAUAUUUCGAACCGCAUGGUUCGAUAGUGAAAGAUGGCUUUGCUAUCACUUAUAGAUGGACCUGCGCCGUAUUAGCUAGUUGGUAAGGUAACGGCUCACCAAGGCAACGAUACGUAGCCGACCUGAGAGGGUGAUCGGCCACACUGGAACUGAGACACGGUCCAGACUCCUACGGGAGGCAGCAGUAGGGAAUCUUCCGCAAUGGGCGAAAGCCUGACGGAGCAACGCCGCGUGAGUGAUGAAGGUCUUCGGAUCGUAGAACUCUGUUAUUAGGGAAGAACAAACGUGUAAGUAACUGUGCACGUCUUGACGGUACCUAAUCAGAAAGCCACGGCUAACUACGUG
rnacentral:rRNA from 1 species